GAGUUUGUGAGAGUCCUUGGUGGAGGAGGUUGGAAAGCGUUCUCCCUCCCACAAAACCCGGUGCAGAGGGAGGGAGAGCCAGGUCCGUAGCGUGGGUCCAAGAAACUAUGGAUCCUGGAAGUGAGCACACUUUUGUGUCUUAAAAAGUUUGGUGUCUCGUUUUGAGGUGAAAAAUGAAUGAGAUAAGUGCUUUUUAAAAAGAAGUCUUCUAUUGUUCAACAGUUAUGAACAAGGACUAUCAAAAAUUUUGGUCAUCACCUUCAGAUCCUGUACAUUUUGAAGUGGAUACUUCUCAUGAAAAAGUAGAAAGCAUGUCAGAAUCGGAUACCAUGAAUGUCAGCAAUCUUUCUCAAGGUGUAAUGCUUUCACAUUCUCCAAUCUGUAUGGAAACCACCGGCACCACUUGUGACUUGCCUCAGAACGAAAUAAAGAAUUUUGAAAGGGAAAAUGAGUAUGAAUCCACACUUUGUGAAGAUGCUUAUGGCACACUAGACAAUUUGUUAAAUGACUGCAGUUCCUUCAAAAGAAAUACAGAAUUAUGGGGAGAUUCCUGAGAUGUCAGUCAGUUAUGAAAAGGAAGUCACAGCAGAGGGUGUGGAGAGGCCAGAAAUUGUCUCAACUUGGUCUUCGGCAGGCAUUUCCUGGAGGAGUGAAGCAUGUCGGGAGAACUGUGAGAUGCCUGACUG
rnacentral:lncRNA from 1 species